rnacentral:lncRNA from 13 species
CUUUUAUCAUUGGAGAAUCACUUUGACACACAGAAAAUAUAACCUGACAAAACCUGAAGAAGUUGACAGGUGACUAAUAAAUUCACAUUUUAUUCUUGGAGACAUUGAAAACUCUGAAAUGCUGAGUGACUUUCCUAAAACCCAGGUCCGGGACUUCAGGAGCUAAAAGUAGAGACCAAUAUUUACUCCAGGAAAUAAUAGUAGGGCCCAGUAUUUACUCCAAGGAUCAGGUUUUCAGGUUAUUAUCCCCCACUAAAGUUGCCAGUUUUUUUUUUUUUUUAAAUUAAACACAGACACAUUAGGGCACAGACAGACAUGUUUUGAAUUUUGGAUCUGAUCUUAAUUUAAAAAUAAGUAUCUUGAAUUUAGUGAUGGCUGAUGGAAGGAGGCCUGUGAAAAAUAGAAAGACUUGUAGGAAGAUGUUGUCAAAGAGGUCCGGAAUCUUAUAAGACAGGGUUCAAGGUCUGUGAGUGGGAUAGCUGAGGUCCCUGAACCCCUUACAGCUGGUGACAAAACUCUUGUAUUUCUCUGUGAGGAGGAUGCAAAAGUUUAUUCUUCAAAGGGAAGUGGAUCCGACUAGCUAAGGCGUGAGUACCUAAAGCGUCCUUCCACCCCUGGGCAGAGGGAAUGUUUCACACUUUCUUGAGGAUCAAGCUAUUGCCUGUGGGCCAAUUUCCUCUUGCAAGCCUCUCCCAGGCCCAGUGAAUGCCAAGGCUUCUAAGGAGGGGUCCUUGCAGCCUGCUGGCAUCCUGUGUAUCGACACUUCUGCUUUCAAGGCAAGCUAAUCUGUUCCUUAAGCUGCUUGGCUGAACUUCUUUGCCAGAUCUGAUAGGAGAAUUUAAUCUUUCCUUUUUCCUUUUUGGCACACACUCAAUGGAAUCCGAAUAAAGAAUUAGGGAGACUUGAAAGGGACUUUCCAUUACCAAACAACUCCGUUUCAAUUUCCGGCCUCUCCUCUACCUUUUUUUUCCAUUCCCUCCUUUCUUCUUCCUCAACGUUUGGAACUCAAACCUGGCAUAAAAGCUCGCGGGGACAUGUGGAAGGCCAGAGACCAGGAACGUAAAGUGAAGUGGGUGUGCCUGGGAUCAUGCACAGCUAGUGAGUGGAAGAGCCAAGAUUCAAAUCCAUGCAGCCUGGCUCCAGGGCCCACACUGUCAGUCACUCAUCAACACCUUUCCAAGCCAAUUUUCCCUGAAGGCCAGCAGGGAAGGCAAGGAGGCUUGCAACAAGGUGGGGGCCCCAGUCAACCUGGACCCAUCCUGGAGGGCUUGCCUGUCAGAGAUACGUGUUUAAUGACGAGAAGCACCAUGAAGCUAGGUGUUCCUGUGAAGAGAUUUAUUUCUUCAAUAAAUAUUUUUUACAUCUAAUCCUGUCUGCUUCAUGAAGGGCGUGAUAUAGCAGGAUUUCUGAGUGACUGAUGGGUGGAUGGAUUAAUCAACAUGAUCACAGCUCUGCUUACUUUGAUGAAAAUAUUCACACUCAGGUAUCAUGUGAGGGAUCUCCAUUUGUUCCUUAAUAACUGAUGCUGAAAAACAUCUAGAAAUUGCAAAGGAACAGAAAAGCAGUGCAGUGAAAUCACUCUAUGAUCUGUCUGAGCCGUGGUCCUGGAGACAUCUGUCUGGUUUCCAUCUAGACUUACCAAAGACUCUCCCAAAGCCAAGUCCUACCUACCUAAGGAGAAGAGUCAACUUUUUUCUCUAUGGACAGUCACUGUGCUUAGAAUUCUUCAGUUUUCCUCCCAGCUUUUGUUCUAUCUUAGCCACUGGACCUCACAAGACAUUGUUUUGGCCCAUUAUGAAGACAUUCAUUCAUUCCUUCAUCUCCUUAUUUAAUAAAUUUUACCUGAGGAUUUGUAGAAAGAACA